ACAGCAGUCGCCACGGUAACACGAGGGGGGCGAGCGUUGUUCGGAAUUAUUGGGCGUAAAGGGCGCGUAGGUGGCUGGAUAAGUCUUGUGUGAAAUCUUCGGGCUCAACUCGAAGUCUGCACCGAAAACUGCCGGGCUUGAGUAUGGGAGAGGGUGGUGGAAUUCCCGGAGUAGCGGUGAAAUGCGCAGAUACCGGGAGGAACGCCGAUGGCGAAGGCAGCCACCUGGUCCACUUCUGACGCUGAGGCGCGAAAGCGUGGGGAGCAAACCGGAUUAGAGACCCGCGUAGUCCCUGUCUCUUAUAC
rnacentral:rRNA from 1 species